GAUGAAGAACGCAGUGAAAUGCGAUACGUAAUGUGAAUUGCAAAUUCAGUGAAUCAUCGAGUCUUUGAACGCACAUUGCGCCCCCUGGUAUUCCGGGGGGCAUGCCUGUCCGAGCGUCAUUGCUGCCCUCAAGCACGGCUUGUGUGUUGGGCCCCGUCCUCCGAUCCCGGGGGACGGGCCCGAAAGGCAGCGGCGGCACCGCGUCCGGUCCUCGAGCGUAUGGGGCUUUGUCACCCGCUCUGUAGGCCCGGCCGGCGCUUGCCGAUCAACCCAAAUUUUUAUCCAGGUUGACCUCGGAUCAGGUAGGGAUACCCGCUGAACUUAAGCAUAUCAUAAGGGAGGA
rnacentral:misc_RNA from 1 species